rnacentral:misc_RNA from 1 species
GAUGAAGAACGUAGCGAACUGCGAUAAGUAAUGUGAAUUGCAGAAUUCAGUGAAUCAUCGAGUCUUUGAACGCACAUUGCGCCCCCUGGCAUUCCGGGGGGCAUGCCUGUCCGAGCGUCAUUGCUGCCCUUCAAGCCCGGCUUGUGUGUUGGGUCGUCGUCCCCCCCGGGGGGCGGGCCCGAAAGGCAGCGGCGGCACCGCGUCCGGUCCUCGAGCGUAUGGGGCUUUGUCACCCGCUCGAUUAGGGCCGGCCGGGCGCCAGCCGGCGUCUCCAACCUUCUAUUUUACCAGGUUGACCUCGGAUCAGGUAGGGAUACCCGCUGAACUUAAGCAUAUCAAUAAGCGGAGGA